GCAGCCCUGGCUGUCCCUGGAGCAGUGGGAGCUGCCGCUGGCCCCAGGCACUGUCCUGUGAGGAGCUGCUGAAGGACGCUGAGACUGAGGGGGCUGAGGAGGCGCUGAUGCUGAAGGGACCUUGCAAACCUUGAGCUGUGCUGAAGAGCGUGAGGAGAGCCAGACACUGAGAGGAGCCAGCAGGGAGAAGCUGAAGGCCUGGAGCAAGAGCAGUGAGCAGGGAUGUGCUGGGGCCACGCGAGAGCCUGGAUGUCCCAUCUGCUGUCCCUGUCCAGGAGAGCUGCUCUGCAUGGGAGGGAAAGACCGAGGGAGAAGCUUUGAAGAUGGGGCGGCUGGGAUCCCUCUGAUUCUAUAUCUCUAUGUAUAUAUAUUGUAUGAAAUAUGUCAUAUUUAAUCUGUAUUUCCAUCUGUAGAUUGUUCUAGAUGUAUAUAUAGAGGUAUUUACUUCUAUUUAAACAUGUAUGACGAGGUAUAGUUGUAUAAUUGUAUCGAUCGAAUUCUUAGUACAGGGUUAUUUAGAGGGAGACACUGAUAUUUUUGUAUUUCUAUAUGGGCUGUAAGCUUGUAGUAUCCUGUAAUAAAUUAAAUUGUUAAACACCUCAUUGAUUUUUGUCUAUAGUGACUUGUAGAGGUUAGCAAUAAGUGAAGUUUUUGCUAACUGAAGUUGGUAUUUGUAUAUUUUUACAUGGCAUUGUUGUGCUAAUAUAAUAAAUUACUUUUUUUAAACUUAA